AAUUACCAGAUUUCAUGUGCUUUGGUGUAUGAUGGCCCAGACCAAAGGCUCGGGAGGGUUCCUUUUGAGACAGGAAUUUGCCUGGUGCCUGUGAAAUUUUUCUCCUCUCAUCAGGUGGACUAUGGUGCAACAGCAGAAGAGCUGGAAGCUCACUUUCAUGGCUGUGGUUCAGUCAACCGUGUUACCAUACUGUGUGACAAAUUUAGUGGCCAUCCCAAAGGGUUUGCGUAUAUAGAGUUCUCAGACAAAGAGUCAGUGAGGACUUCCUUGGCCUUAGAUGAGUCCCUAUUUAGAGGAAGGCAAAUCAAGGUGAUCCCAAAACGAACCAACAGACCAGGCAUCAGCACAACAGACCGGGGUUUUCCACGAGCCCGCUACCGCGCCCGGACCACCAACUACAACAGCUCCCGCUCUCGAUUCUACAGUGGUUUUAACAGCAGGCCCCGGGGUCGCGUCUACAGGUCAGGAUAGAUGGGCUGCUCCUCUUUCCCCCGCCUCCCGUGAGCCCCGUAUGCUUCCUCCUCUCUGGUCUGAGGAACCUCCCUCCCCCCACCCCUCCCCGUGGUCUUCAGGAACUUUGUCUCCUGCCUGUGCAGGUUGAGGAAGGUAGUUGCAGGCCAGGCCAGAAGGCCAGCCUCAUCAUCUUUUCUGCAGUAGAAAUUGGUGAUAAGGGCUGCAUCCCUCCCUUGGUUCAAAGAGGCUUCCACCCCCAGCCUUUUUUUUCUUGGGAGUUGGUGGCAUUUGAAGGUGUUUGCGGACAAAACUGGGAGGAACAGGGCCUCCAGGCAGUGAAAGCACUGCUUGGACAUUUGUUACU
rnacentral:lncRNA from 1 species